rnacentral:rRNA from 1 species
AUGACAAAAACAAAAUUUUCGGCAAAGCCCAUUGAGCUUCUUCUUCAUCAUUCCAAAUGCCCAAACAGCAACCGGGCCAACCCUAGCAGGCUAAACCCUCAUUUUCAGUUCCAACGCUCCUCCUCCUGCGCCGCCGCCGCCACCACCACCACCACCAUGCUCCGCACCGUCCUCAACUCCGGCGGCGGUCGUCUAUGCCGCCUCCCCUCCCUCCUCCCCCACCAUCGCCUCAUGUCCGGCUCCUCCGUCGCUGCCAUAUUCUUCCAACCGUCCCUGCCGGCGGAUCCCGCCACCGCGAUCCAGUCAGCCGGCAUCGACCUCUCACACCCCAACACCAUCCCCGCCCUCCUUGUCCACCCGGACCUCGCCUCCAACUACCCUGCCGCCUCCCGCUUCUUCUCCUGGGCCGCAUCCCACGACGCCGCCGUCCUCAACUCCAAGUGCUUCAACUCCAUGCUCCAGCUCGCCGCCGCCAACAGCGACGCCGCCCAUUUCUGGUCACUCGUCUCCUCGAUGCGUUCCAGGGGCUACGGCAUCUCGAAGACCACCCUCCAGGCCGCCACGGAGAGCUUCCGGUCCAAUGGCAUGUCCAAGGACGCCGACAUGAUCCAGAAGGCCUUCUCCGCGCACUCCAGGAACGCAGCGGUGGCGGAGGCGUGCAAGAUUCUCCGCUCAGAUGCCGAUGAGUUAUCUAAGCUGGACAAGCUGAAUCAAUUGGGCGUUGAGGUGAGUGAUGAGAUGGUGGCACUGGUUGUGGAGAAGAUUGGGCAGUUUCCGCGACAGGCAAUGGUGUUCUUUAAUUGGGUGGAGCAGUCAGCUGGGGCAGGGAUCAACUGGGGCAAGGUUUACAAUGCAAUGGCAAAGAUCAUUGGCCGGGAGGAUUCUAUUGAGGAGUUCCGAGAGGUCCUGCGGAAGAUGAGCAGUAAGGAGGUUGGGCUGGAUAAGGAGGUGUACGUUAUUCUCAUCGAUAGGUUUCUCAAGAGGAAGAUGUUUGAGGAUGCAGUAGACUUGUUCCGGUUUGCAAUGGGUGGGACGGAGAAGCCAUCGGCUCAGGAUUUUGUGUUCUUAUUGAAGAAGCUUGUUGUGAGGGAUGAUAUGGAUCUGAAGCUGGUGAUGAGGGUUGUGCGGAUCUAUCAGAAGGCUGGGAAUGAGGUGAAGUCUUCCGUGUUUGAUGCUGUUAUCAAGUCGCUGAGAAGCGUAGAAAGGCUUGGUGAGAGUGGCAGGGUGUUGAAGGCCAUGGAGCACGGUGGUUUUGCACCAGACAGCACUGUACAUGGAAAAGCUGUUCUUGCAAUGUGUGAUGCUGGGAAUCUGGAAACAGCGCACAAACAUUUGGCUCGUGUGGAAAAAUCAGGGCAUAAGUUGGAUCCACCUGUAUGGUCUGCUUUGGUUCAGAAGUAUUCCCUUGGUGAUGAUGUUGAUAUGGCAGUUUCAUGCUUCCCCGAAAUGCUGGAAAGAAGAAGUGGCAAUCAGGUUGGUAGCGCUCUUGAGGUGCUUGUGUAUGGGCUGUGCAGGAAGAAAGAAGCAAAGGAAGCGUUCAAAGUUCUGAAGGACCUGGUGUUGGAAAAGGAUGUGGUUCCUUGGCAAAGUACCUACAAGUAUUUGAUCCACAAGUUGAUCCGCCAAGGGCAUCUUAAAGAAGCAUUUGAUGUGCUAGGUUUAAUGAAAAGUAAUGGAUUUCCGCCUUAUAUCAAUCCAUUUAUCACACACAUUUUGAAAUCUGGUACUGUGGACGAUGCCCUGGGUCUGCUAAACGCAAUGUCUUCAGAGGAGUUCCCAUCAAGAACAGUUUACAUGCGCUUGUUUCAAGGUCUGUUCAAAGAGGGGAGGCAUGAAAUUGCCCGGCAGCUGCUCUCGGUAUCUCCUGGAAGUGUCCAAAACCACGCAGAUGUUCUCGACCUCUUCUAUAAGAUGAAGAUUGAAGAACCUACAGCAGCGUUGUAG